GAUGAACGCUGGCGGCGUGCCUAAUACAUGCAAGUCGAGCGAACAGACGAGGAGCUUGCUCCUUCGACGUUAGCGGCGGACGGGUGAGUAACACGUAGGUAACCUACCUAUAAGACUGGGAUAACUUCGGGAAACCGGAGCUGAUACCGGAUAAUAUUUCGAACCGCAUGGUUCGAUAGUGAAAGAUGGCUUUGCUAUCACUUAUAGAUGGACCUGCGCCGUAUUAGCUAGUUGGUAAGGUAACGGCUUACCAAGGCAACGAUACGUAGCCGCCCUGAGAGGGUGCACGGCCACCCUGGAACGGAGACACGGUCCAGACUCCUACGGGAGGCAGCAGUAGGGAAUCUUCCGCAAUGGGCGAAAGCCUGACGGAGCAACGCCGCGUGAGUGAUGAAGGUCUUCGGAUCGUAAAACUCUGUUAUUAGGGAAGAACAAACGUGUAGGUAACUGUGCACGUCUUGACGGUACCUAAUCAGAAAGCCACGGCUAACUACGUGCCAGCAGCCGCCGUAAUAC
rnacentral:rRNA from 1 species